GAUAUUUUGAAUCCUAACAUCUGUGAGCUUUGUCUCUUCACUGCAUGUUGUUUCCAGAUGUUCAUUCAGCAGCGUCUCUCACAGUGAGUCCUGACAGAGUGCAACACUUCACCUCUGACUCUGUCUCACUGACCUGUGAGGGAAACUUCACUGAGUGGAGAGUGAUGACUGUUACACAGGUAUAUCCUUCAUAUUAUUAUGAAUGCGAGAGAAUGACUGGAUCCACGUGUAACAUCUACACAUCAGAGUCAGAUACUGGAGUGUACUGGUGUGAGUCUGGAUCAGGAGAGUUCAGCAGUGCAGUCAACAUCACUGUACAGAAUGAUGGUAAUGGUCCUAUCCUGGUGAGUCCUGUUCAUCCUGUGACUGAGGGAGCUUCUGUUAGUCUGAGCUGCAGUUUGAGAA